rnacentral:rRNA from 1 species
ACUCAAAUGAAUAGACGGGGGCUCACACAAGCGGUGGAGCAUGUGGCUCAAUUCGAAGCAACGCGAAGAACCUUAUCCUGGGCUUGACAUGUAUGGAUUAGGUCGUGGAAACACGGCUGAGGCCUUCGGGUACAACAUACACAGGUGCUGCAUGGCUGUCGUCAGCUCGUGCUGUGAAGUGUCGGGUUAAGUCCCUUAACGAGCGAAACCCCUAUCUCUAGUUGCUAACGCGUCAUGGCGAGGACUCUAGCGAGACUGCCGGUGUCAAACCGGAGGAAGGUGGGGAUGACGUCAAGUCCUCAUGGCCCUUAUGCCCAGGGCUGCACACGUGCUACAAUGGCAUCGACAGAGCGACGCUAAAUCGCAAGAUCAUGCAAAUCGCAUAAACGAUGCCCCAGUUCAGAUUGAGGUCUGCAACUCGACCUCAUGAAGUUGGAAUCGCUAGUAAUCGGGGAUCAGCUACGCCCCGGUGAAUAUGUUCCUGAGCCUUGUACACACCGCCCGU